UUCGCCCUUAGAGUUUGAUCCUGGCUCAGGACGAACGCUGGCGGCGUGCCUAACACAUGCAAGUCGAGCGGAGACAAUGGAAGUGCUUGCACAGAAAUUGUUUUAGCGGCGGACGGGUGAGUAACGCGUGAGCAACCUUUCUCUCAGUGGGGAAUAACACAGGGAAACUUGUACUAAUACCGCAUGAGACCACGGUGGGGCAUCCUACAGGGGUCAAAGAAUAAUCGCUGAGAGGUGGGCUCGCGUCUGAUUAGAUAGUUGGUGGGGUAACGGCCUACCAAGUCGACGAUCAGUAGCCGACCUGAGAGGGUGAUCGGCCACAUUGGGACUGAGACACGGCCCAAACUCCUACGGGAGGCAGCAGUGGGGAAUAUUGGGCAAUGGGGGGAACCCUGACCCAGCAACGCCGCGUGGAGGAAGAAGGUUUUCGGAUCGUAAACUCCUGUCCUCAGGGAAGAGCAAGAGACGGUACCUGAGGAGGAAGCCCCGGCUAACUACGUGCCAGCAGCCGCGGUAAUACGUAGGGGGCAAGCGUUGUCCGGAAUGAUUGGGCGUAAAGGGCGCGUAGGCGGCCCGGUAAGUCUGGAGUGAAAGUCCUGCCUUCAAGGUGGGAAUUGCUUUGGAUACUGUCGGGCUUGAGUGCAGGAGAGGUCAUUGGAAUUCCCAGUGUAGCGGUGAAAUGCGUAGAGAUUGGGAGGAACACCAGUGGCGAAGGCGAGUGACUGGACUGUAACUGACGCUGAGGCGCGAAAGUGUGGGGAGCAAACAGGAUUAGAUACCCUGGUAGUCCACACUGUAAACGAUGAAUGCUAGGUGUAGGGGGUAUCGACCCCUUCUGUGCCGGAGUAAACACAAUAAGCAUUCCGCCUGGGGAGUACGGCCGCAAGGUUGAAACUCAAAGGAAUUGACGGGGGCCCGCACAAGCAGCGGAGCAUGUGGUUUAAUUCGACGCAACGCGAAGAACCUUACCAGGUCUUGACAUCCAGGUAAAACCUAAGAGAUUAGGUGUGCCUUCGGGCAAUCUGAGACAGGUGGUGCAUGGUUGUCGUCAGCUCGUGUCGUGAGAUGUUGGGUUAAGUCCCGCAACGAGCGCAACCCUUACCUUCAGUUACUAACACGUCAUGGUGAGGACUCUGGAGGGACUGCCGGGGACAACUCGGAGGAAGGUGGGGACGACGUCAAAUCAUCAUGCCCCUUAUGACCUGGGCUACACACGUGCUACAAUGGCCACCACAGAGAGGAGCGAAGCCGUAAGGCCGAGCGGAUCUCAAAAAAGUGGUCCCAGUUCGGAUUGUGGGCUGCAACCCGCCCACAUGAAGUCGGAGUUGCUAGUAAUCGCGGAUCAGCAUGCCGCGGUGAAUACGUUCCCGGGCCUUGCACACACCGCCCGUCA
rnacentral:rRNA from 1 species